CAUGGUUUUUUGAUUUUAAUUUAAAAUUUGAUCUGCACGAUGAUUGAUUAAAUUGCCGCAGUAUUUUAACUGUGCUAAGGUAGCAUAAUCAUUAGCUUUUUAAUUGGAAGCUGGAAUGAAUGGUUGGACAAGAUGAUUUCUGUCUCUUUUUGAUUUAUUUUUUAAUUUUAUCUUUAAGUGAAAAAGCUUAGUUGAUUUUAGAAGACGAGAAGACCCUAUAGAGUUUUAUAUUUUACUUUAAUUUUUUAUUAGGAUGUUUUUUAGAGUUUAAUAUUUAGUUGGGGUGACUUGAAGAUUUAAUUAAUUCUUUAAAUUUUAUAUUGAUGAUAAUUAGUUUUAAAUUUUAUUAUUAUUAUGGUUAAAUUUAAUUACCUUAGGGAUAACAGCGUAAUUUUUUUUUUAAGUUCUUAUUUUAAGAAAAGUUUGCGACCUCGAUGUUGGAUUAAAGCUUAUUUUGGAUGUAGCAGUUUAUUUAUUGGGUCUGUUCGACCCUUAAAGCUUUACAUGAUCUGAGU
rnacentral:rRNA from 1 species